AUUGAACGCUGGCGACAGGCCUAACACAUGCAAGUCGAACGGUAACAGGAAACAGCUUGCUGUUUCGCCGACGAGUGGCGGACGGGUGAGUAAUGUCUGGGAAACUGCCUGAUGGAGGGGGAUAACUACUGGAAACGGUAGCUAAUACCGCAUAACGUCGCAAGACCAAAGAGGGGGACCUUCGGGCCUCUUGCCAUCGGAUGUGCCCAGAUGGGAUUAGCUAGUAGGUGGGGUAACGGCUCACCUAGGCGACGAUCCCUAGCUGGUCUGAGAGGAUGACCAGCCACACUGGAACUGAGACACGGUCCAGACUCCUACGGGAGGCAGCAGUGGGGAAUAUUGCACAAUGGGCGCAAGCCUGAUGCAGCCAUGUCGCGUGUAUGAAGAAGGCCUUCGGGUUGUAAAGUACUUUCAGCGGGGAGGAAGGGAGUAAAGUUAAUACCUUUGCUCAUUGACGUUACCCGCAGAAGAAGCACCGGCUAACUCCGUGCCAGCCGCCGCGGUAA
rnacentral:rRNA from 1 species